ensembl:miRNA
CAUCCAGGACAAUGGUGAGUGCCAGCGCCUGCCCUGGGGCCAUCCCUAUGCAGGAGCCGGGUGCUCAUUGCAUCUGCCCC